UACAGAGGUCCCAAGCGUUGUUCGGAAUUACUGGGCGUAAAGGGCUCGUAGGCGGCCAACUAAGUCAGACGUGAAAUCCCUCGGCUUAACCGGGGAACUGCGUCUGAUACUGGAUGGCUAGAGAUUGGGAGAGGGAUGCGGAAUUCCAGGUGUAGCGGUGAAAUGCGUAGAUAUCUGGAGGAACACCGGUGGCGAAGGCGGCAUCCUGGACCAACACUGACGCUGAGGAGCGAAAGCCAGGGGAGCAAACGGG
rnacentral:rRNA from 1 species